GUAAUAUUGGGCAAUGGGCGCAAGCCUGACCCAGCAACGCCGCGUGAGGGAAGAAGGUCUUCGGAUUGUAAACCUCUGUCCUUGGUGACGACGGAAGUGACGGUAGCCAAGGAGGAAGCCCCGGCUAACUACGUGCCAGCAGCCGCGGUAAUACGUAGGGGGCGAGCGUUGUCCGGAAUGAUUGGGCGUAAAGGGCGCGUAGGCGGCCCGGUAAGUCUGAAGUGAAAGUCCUGGUUUUAAGUUGGGAAUUGCUUUGGAUACUGUCGGGCUUGAGUGCAGGAGAGGUAAGUGGAAUUCCCAGUGUAGCGGUGAAAUGCGUAGAGAUUGGGAGGAACACCAGUGGCGAAGGCGACUUACUGGACUGUAACUGACGCUGAGGCGCGAAAGUGUGGGGAGCAAACA
rnacentral:rRNA from 1 species